UUUAGAAGGUAUGGCACAUAUUGC
rnacentral:siRNA from 1 species